GUUUUCUUUUUCUCACAGCUGCUUUACUUCCAUUUCCACUGUCCAACAAAAACCGAUGAACACGAGCUUGUUUCAUCAUUUUUGCCAAGUCGAAUCAGGGUUGGAUUUGGAGACAGCAAUCAAUUUGGCCAUGGAAUUGAAGAUGGGCCGCAACUAUAUUCUUAUCCAGAAAGGAUUUCAGAGCCUGCAAUUGAGAUUUCUGCACACAAAUUGGGUGAGGAUUUUGUUCUUUAUUUUACUCCUUGGUUUGAUCUGUGUACAACAAAACUGAAAUUUUCUUCUUGAUUCUCUUCAUCGGUGACUCUGGGCUUUGAAUGUUGUUUUCUGGUGUUGAAAUUUGAUCGCGGUGAGUUCAAACAAGGCAAAAGUGCGUUGUUUGCAUUGAAGGCGAGGCUCCUGUCUCUGACUCCAGGUGCUAUAAGGAAGACACACAUAGACUAUUGCUGACAUUGAGAGUACAAAACAAGUACAGAAGCUGUGGUGUCAUAAAUUUCAGAGUUCCAGACUUUUGAUUUCAACGGUCUUCCGCCCUUCUCUUUUAGUUUCUUUGCACCAAAAACAACUUCUUUGUGCUUUGUCAACUCCCAUUGCUGCAACUUUAAGGAUUUUGAAUUUGUUAAACCCUGUUGUGCACGUAUAAAGGCAAGGACAGCAACUGCAGUCCAGACUCCAGAGUUUCAAUUUGAGGGUGAGUCUGACUAUUUAGACUUUGUUUAUUUUUUUCGGGUGUUAUCUGAGUUGGUGCUCUUGGGAAGCAAGCAUGGAAUUUGGAGACAGGCUAUGUGGUAUGGUGGUUUGAAAAAGAGAGGAAGGGAGGAAGGGAGAUUGCUCGUGCUGGUGUUUCAAAAGGCAGGUACUUUUUAAUUUUGAGGGAUUGUUCUGUUUGUAGACCAUCAGAGACGUUGCUCCGGUAUAUUCAUCGGGACGCUGCCCGGCAUGAGUCAUCGGGACGCUGCCCGGCAUGGUCAUCGGGACGCUGCCCGGCAUGGUCAUCGGGACGCUGCCCGGCAUGGUCAUCGGGACGCUGCCCGGCAUGGUUCAUCGGGACGCUGCCCGGCAUGGUUCAUCGGGACGCUGCCCGGCAUGGUCAUCGGAGACGCUGCUCCGGCAUGUUUUUCCUUUUUCAUGACAUCCUGACAAACCUGUGAACACAAAAGAAAGUGAAGAUCAUGGAAGAGAGGGAGUCUCAACCUUUGUGAUAAAAGCACGCUGUUGAGUUCUUCUUGCUUGCAGCAGGGCCUCCGCUCUCUUCUUCUUUUUCUAUCCCCUCCCCGUGUCACUAUUGCUAGCUUUAUAUAGUGGACUGAUGGAGAGUUUAACGUGGAUGUUGUUGACUUCCACACGGAAUGAAAUAGCUAGAGUCUCCUUUCUUCAAGGCUCUUGCAGAUAAACUGUCCUUAUCUUUGAUUGAGACGUUCUCCUGCUACUCCUAUUCUUUAUUUUUUCAUUAUUUGGCUGGAACUUUAUCUU